rnacentral:tRNA from 7 species
UUCCGCGAUAGCUCAACGGUGGAGCACUCGGCUGUUAACCGAUAGGUUGAAGGUUCGAAUCCUUUUCGCGGAGCCAU